CCUAAGCCAUUCACCCCAUCCGACUUCAGAGUGUACUCUAUGAGUUUGGCAACUCACCACCAGCAUCCAACCAAAUCUAGCGGAUCAACGGCGCGUCAACUUAGUUCCUGGUCAGCUCGCGAGUUGAUUUUAUCACGUCCUACACCGUCCACAAGAUGGGGGGUCACCUCCCAUUUCAUCACCUCUCAAACACCCCGAGAGGUCGGCAGGCUGAUUUGAACCCGGACGCGCCGGGACGCGCCGGGAGCAGAAGCCAGGCCUUAACCUCUGCCAGCCGCCUGUCUGUUGUAUGCAGACGAUGUUAGUCUGCUAGCGACGUCACUAGAGCGAAUGUCUGAGUUGCUAUAUUUUGUGGACUUAGGGUCUUGUGGACAAACCCUAAGUGCAAAGUCCGAGCAAUUCUGUUGUAUGGCUGCCAGGCAUGGGGCCCUUUUGUGCUGGCAGAGGUUGUGGACAUGGCGGGAAGGCGGCGGGAUAAAGCCAACCUUGCGGAGGGUAUGUUUGAAGCCUGCUUGAAGGAUAGCGCAGUCCAGCUUCAGAUUUUAUUCAUGAGGCUGGUAGUGAUUGCGGCACAGCGAUCCCACAGGCUGUUGAUGUUGUUACAGGGUGGUUAAGCUACACCAGUGGCCUCCUUCCCGAGGCAAUUCCCUGCUCUCCCCUGCUAGAGGGGCAUCCUAAUCCAUUCACCCCAUCCGGCUUCAGAGUGUACUCUUUGAGUUUGGCAACUCACCACCAGCAUCCAACCAAAUCUAGCGGAUCAAUGGUGCAUCAACUUAGUUCUUGGUCAGCUCACAAGUUGAUGUUAUCGCGUCCUACACCGUCCAGAAGAUGGGGGUUCACCUCCCAUUUCACCACCUCUCAAACACCCGAGAGGUCGGCAGGCGGAUUUGCACCCG
rnacentral:lncRNA from 1 species